UUUUCAAACAUGAUUAUUAUAUAUAUAUUUUUUAAUCAACCAAGUAUGAUGGAGGAUUAAAAUUAUUAUUAUCAUUUCCCCUUCAAACUCACCCUACCGACCAUAGCUUAGUGGUUCAAAAGUUUUGGGAGUAUGCAUUAAUUGUACUAUUCUUUAUACAUAAAAUUUUCUCUCAAAAACGCGCCCAAUCCUCCCCAGUUGCAGCCCUACUCAAUUAAUCUUUUCUUUUGCCCUGUAACAAACUUGGAACAAGAGUAGAGGAGAAGAAGGAAGUAAGUGGAGAGGAUGGGAGUGGCGAGCAAAGCAGGGGAUUGGGCAUUCAAGGCGUUCGCAGCUGGCCUCGGCUUCGCCACCAUUUAUCUCACCGCCACCUUCUCUGUUAAUGUCUACAGAGGCCUAGCUUGGCACAACGCCCAAUCGAAAAUUGACAAGGAAGAAGGGUCUAGCGAUUGAAACCUGUAAUGAGUUUUUGCUGCUGUUUUCGAAUCGUGCUUUUGUAUUCUUGAUAUUUUGAAUUAUUAUGCGUCUGUGUAUGUUUCAUCUAGGGUUAUAAAUGAUAGAUACACCAAGUUCAAGUGAACAUCUCUAAAAUUAUGGAGCUCUAUGUAUUUUGAUUUGGCAGAUGCAAUACAUUUUUAUUCUCGUUUAGAAAUCAACAUGACAGGGUCAAGUUUGGAUU